rnacentral:rRNA from 1 species
GAGGAAUAUUGGUCAAUGGAGGCAACUCUGAACCAGCCAAGUCGCGUGAAGGAUGAAGGUCUUAUGGAUUGUAAACUUCUUUUUCAAGGGAAUAAAGUGGGGGACGUGUCCUCCUUUGCAUGUACCUUGCGAAUAAGGAUCGGCUAACUCCGUGCCAGCAGCCGCGGUAAUACGGAGGAUCCGAGCGUUAUCCGGAUUUAUUGGGUUUAAAGGGUGCGCAGGCGGGAUGUUAAGUCGGCGGUGAAAUUUUGCAGCUCAACUGUAAAAGUGCCUUCGAUACUGGCUUCCUUGAGUGUGGAUGAAGUAGGCGGAAUUUGUGGUGUAGCGGUGAAAUGCUUAGAUAUCACGAGGAACUCCGAUUGCGCAGGCAGCUUACUAAACCACUACUGACGCUCAUGCACGAAGGCGUGGGGAUCAAAC